AGAGCCUUAGGUUAAGAUUAAAUCGAGAGCCUUCAAAGUUCUAGUUGUAAGCGUAGGGUUGCUUUCAGGUUCUG